CUUAUUAUAAUAAAGGUUACUCCCUUGUUCGUUAUAGCCUUCAUCUUAUUAUAUUAAAGGUUACUCCCUUCUUCGUUAUAGCCUUCAUCUUAUUAUAUUAAAGGUUACUCCCUUCUUCGUUAUGGCCUUCAUCUUAUUAUAUUAAAGGUUACUCCCUUCUUCGUUAUAGCCUUCAUCUUAUUAUAUUAAAGGUUACUCCCUUCUUCGUUAUGGCCUUCAUCUUAUUAUAUUAAAGGUUACUCCCUUGUUCGUUAUAGCCUUCAUCUUAUUAUAUUAAAGGUUACUCCCUUGUUCGUUAUAGCCUUCAUCUUAUUAUAUUAAAGGUUACUCCCUUCUUCGUUAUAGCCUUCAUCUUAUUAUAUUAAAGGUUACUCCCUUGUUCGUUAUGGCCUUCAUCUUAUUAUAUUAAAGGUUACUCCCUUGUUCGUUAUGGCCUUCAUCUUAUUAUAUUAAAGGUUACUCCCUUCUUCGUUAUAGCCUUCAUCUUAUUAUAUUAAAGGUUACUCCCUGUUUUGUUCUUCGCUCAUUUUCCGUUUUUUCCACUGCAAAUGUGCAUAUUUAUUUAUUUAUUUAUUUAUUUUCAUUUGUUUAUUUAAUGUUAUUUGUAGUAGUUAACUGAGGGGGGCACUACCCUGGCCUCCUCUUCCUCUGAUUCUCUUACUUCACACAUUUAUCUUAAUACUUCACACUAUUGUCCAUAUGCUUCAUUUUUUUUUUUCAUUCAUGACUUUUUAUCCAUACCUCACACUUUUCUUAGUAUUUCACAUUUUUUCUAGAUCAUACUCUACACUUCCCACCUGGGGGACGCGGGUUAGGCCUUUAUAAAGUCACUCUGUGGCUGCAUGUCCGCCGCGGCACACCGCCACCCUGUGAGGCGUAGAGCCCCGUGCUCCCCUCCAUCCUGGGGUAACAAUCCUAAAACAAACAAACCUGAGAGGCGGGAUGCUGCCGCUGCCUGUCACCUGACACCCUCUCGCUGAUGAAUGGAUCGCGGCGCGGGUGGAGAGAGACUGCCCAUCCCUCUCCACUCCGCCCGGGAAGGAACUCAUGAAUUCUCGGUUGAGUCGCGUGUGCUACCCAUUGCACUACAGAACAACAGUGGUUGGCCAGAGUUUCCAUUACCAUAUCGUCAAAGUCCAUGUCCUCCGGAAGAACCAUUAAUUAUAUAAUUAAAUCGUCACUAUUAUUUCCGCCACUUAAAACGAGCAAAGCUUAAUGAAAAUAAGAGGCGUUUUCUCGUCAGAGUAAAUUAAACAAAAGCACUGUAAGCACAUGUCCCUAUUUAUCCCUAUACCGCUGCCGCCAGUUUUAGACCCUUCUUUUCUUGUAUUAAAUCAACUCUUUUAUCACUCAUUAAUUACUCCAUAAAUGAUUUCACCGUCUCGUAUCCCUGGUAGCGUGAUCCGGCUUAAGUUGUUAUUGGAGACUGGUGUUCGGGGAUAAACAAGGGAAAAAGAAAAUAUACAUUUAUUUAAAAUUAAAUGAAAGUAAUUGCCUUACGCAAUAUUCUAUGCUCAGACGAUCAUAACACUGGCAUAUUCAGCAAUGGAUACAACAUAUGACAAACGACAUGUCUUUAAACAUAAUACUACAAUUUGUGCUCAGUUGUUGCCAAUAAUAAUAACACUCGUCAUUCCACAAGCAGUGGUUUGUAUCUCUCUGCUUACAUCACAAUAUUUAAAUACUCUCCUCACAUCCUGAUAACACAUUCCUAUAGUAUAAUCUACUACAAUUUCACGGAAGCACCAAAUUAUACCACACCCAGUGCUUUCUACCUUUGCUUUACUUCGCAAACAAAUAAUCACAAUCCUGUCCCACUCACAAUCCUACUUCACAUCUCCUACAUUAUAAUCUCCAGGACAAUACAGUCGGUUUCUCUUAGAUUCUCGAAUUUCUACUCACGAUUAAGAUCACAACAGCCAUUCUCAGCUGAGUGAGUAGCAAGUCUGCUUGAAGCGAGUGCAAGGCUCGGUCUGCCCAUAUCACUGUUGUCUAGGUCACAUUUUUCCUUGCUUGAGGCGGAACUACAUCUUUGACACGCCUUCAUUUUCUACAUAACCAGUAGCCAAUACUUCCUGUCAACAACCAUUGGCUCGCUCAUUAUGUUAUAUUGUUUACUUCUCCUACUAUUUGUUAUUUCACUCUUAAGACACUCCCACAGUGACUUCUCUUUUCAGUUAUUCGCUUAUAGCAUUUCGUCACACCGCACGUGACAUGUUAGAGUCCUCUUGAAUGGUUAUCCACACUUCCUGACCACGCCUACUGGGUAUCUGCUUUCUGUAUGUGGGUCUGGGUAUUUUCCAUAACCUCUCAGUAGUGUUAGUGCUUAUCAGAUGUUUACAACUUUGUAUAUCUGACUAAUUGCUUUCCUUCCCUCUCCUGUCAUAUUUACAAUUCUUGUCUCCAUAUCUCCACUCGGUAUUUGCCUCUGAUUGGGGUCACUUUUAAUUAACUGUGCUGCUAUGGUCGUCUUCUGUUUGUCCAUAUUCUGGGUCCCAACAAAAUUGGUAGGGAGGAGGAAGAAGGUGGUGUGUGUGUGUGUAUGUGUGUGUGUGUGGCUGGAGGGAGGCAGCUAUUAGCAAGUUCAGAACAGCAGUGACUAUGAAAUUAAGGCAUAGAAGAUAGGAAUUAAAGAAGAAUGAGUGUGAUGGCAGUGACUUAGAGAGGACUGAGUGAAGCAAAUGGCAGUCAGGACAAAAUGCAGAAAUAAUUAAGGAAGGACAAGUAUUUCAGAGUUUACCAGGGAAAGGGAUGUAAAAAAGUGAUGAUUUUGGUUAACUCAGGCAUUAGGAAGUUAAAUAGCAGAGGAAUGAGCUUGAGCAGAAAGCCUUGGGCACUGCAGAAGGCAGGAAGGAAGCAGCUGUUAGCAAGUUCUGAACAGCAGUGACAAUGAGAUGAUGGCACAGAAGACAGCACAGGAAGGGAAGAAUUUGAGUGUGGUGACAGGGACUUAGGAAGAUGAUUUAGGACAGAUUGUAAAUGCUUCAUGUGGAAGAGUGCAGCAGCUGAGUAUUGUAAAGGAUAGGGAAAAGUUGCGUGAAAGGCUGCGUCAAGUUGGCAGACGAUGAAGUUAAGGUCCAUAUUGUCAAACUCCUCACAGGCUUGCUCCAUCUAUUUCAAAAGGCUCUCGCAGAGGUUGUUGGGGUUUCCAUGGGCGGUUUCCUGAGCCUGGCGGUAGUUUUGCAUGGCUUCUGUGCCUUGAAGGAGAAAACACCCAAGACAACCCAGUUACUCUUCCCUGUGGGCUUGGGAAAUAGGUGCAGUGGGAGCCUGAUACAUUUAGGAAGACAGGGACACAGAGAUACAGACAAACAGAGAUGCAGGGUGGUGUUGCCGAUAGUUUCACACGGCUGCUGCACCCUGAACGGGAAAACACCACCCAGGAAAACACGGUUAGCCUUCUCUGUGGCCUUGGGGAAUAGUAACAGUGGGAGCCUGAUAUGCUUAGGACCAUAGGCUGACUUACAGCGCCUCAUUUUGGGUGUUGAUGACAUAGAAUCUCUCUCUCUCUUUCUCUCUCUCUCUCUCACACACACACACACACACACACACUCACACACAAACACACAAUUACACUGGAGUGAAAAACAGUAUGCACAUGGAGGAAGAAGAGGAGGAGGAAGAGAAGGUGAAAAAUUGAUAAUAUGAACUUCAAAAAUAUAUCAUCCAUGUAAAAGUUAAUCUAAAUUCAGCCUUUAAAAAUUGUAACAAUUCUGCCAUACAUCAAUGCACUCAUGUUAUAUUAAGUGUUCUCUUCACAGUGUCCUCAUGAUAUCAGGCUGUGUGGUGGACCGUCCCUUCCUGAGUGGACAAUAGUCGUGUGGCAGGCUGGGCCAAGGUGCCAGAAGAAGACAUUAAGUUUUUGAGAGAUGGGAUGAGAAGUUUUCAGGUAAGAACUUGCGAUAAGGACAGAGCAAGGGUGUUUGCUGUAGAGGAGAGGGCACAGCUGCAUGUCACCAAAGAAUAAUCUUGAUAGGGGAAUGCUUUGCCUGGGAUUCUUACACACUACUGACCCUCACACACCAGCUAUUUCUUAAGGCAAAGAGAGAGGUAAAAUGCAUUCUCAGGAGUGGUAAUUAGAGUUCAUGGCACAGAAGCCUUGUCAAACUGCCACCAGGGUCACAAAACUACCUACGGAAAGGCCCACAACUCCUACAAAAGUCACGUCACGUGUGUGUUUGGGCGCUGGAAUCUCUAAAUAACGUGGCCCAUUGCCCGCUCAGAACAGAUGGCAUCACUGUAAAUACUCACCUGCCCUGCGCCAUGACGGGCUCGGGCCGACCACCAGGCCCCUAAAGAAGGCC